rnacentral:rRNA from 1 species
AUUGAACGCUGGCGGCAGGCCUAACACAUGCAAGUCGAACGAGUGGCGGACGGGUGAGUAAUUUCUGGGAAACUGCCCGAUGGAGGGGGAUAACUCCUGGAAACGGUAGCUAAUACCGCAUACCAUCGGAUGUGCCCAGAUGGGAUUAGCUAGUAGGUGGGGGAACGGCUCACCUAGGCGACGAUCCCUAGCUGGUCUGAGAGGAUGACCAGCCACACUGGAACUGGGACCCGGUCCAUACGCCUACGGGAGGCAGCAGUGGGGAAUAUUGCACAGUGGGCGCAAGCCGGAUACAUCCAUGCCGCGUGUAUUAAGAAGGCCUUCGGGUUGUAAAGUACUUUCAGCGAGGAGGCGUUACUCGCAGAAGAAGCACCGGCUAACUCCGUGCCAGCAGCCGCGGUAAUUC